GGUGACUCAGUGGUAGAGUGCUUGCCUUGCAUGCAUGAGGCCCUGGGUUCGAUUCCUAUGCACCA
rnacentral:tRNA from 1 species